CUUGAGAAAAUCCCUUCAACUCCUCCUUCUUCCUCAACCCAAGUCCCAAAAAAAAAAAAAAAAAAAAAAACAAGAAAAUUCAGAGAAAAUUAUUGUUUAUGUCAGAUCAUGUGUUUGCAAUGGUUAAACCUGUCUUUACAUUUCUUUUUUGAUUAAAACGAGGUGACAAUGAUAUACAUGGAUAAUUCAGAAUGGAUGCAGAACGGCGAUUACUCUCCGUCCCGUUUCCAAGCCCAAUCCGACUCUGUCAAUCUCGUUUCUGGUGCAAAACCUCCCAUCGCACGCGCACUUAGAUUUAAUAGGUGAAAUCACCGUUUGUGUCAAAACUUAAACUGAUGGGAAGCCGUAGAUUACUCUAAUCCGGAAAAUACAGUGGGGAUUUUGACAAUGGCGGGCAUAGGGGUUCGUGUAUUGGCCACUCCCACCUCUGAUCUUGGCAAGAUUUUGGCUUGCAUGCAUGCUGCUGGAGUCCUGGUAGCUCAGUUGGUUCUUAAGCAUUGCCAAAACAAGCAUCGGCAAUAGAGGAUUAUUGUUUUUGCUAGAAGGAAGAAGAAGGGAGAGGAAUCAUCAUCCAGUGCAGAAUAUGCAACCAUGACAGAAUGUGUUAACAUUACACUCCCUAAAGAAAACAAGGAAACUGUUGAUGAGAUGAUCAGUGUCUUCAUUUCAACUUCUGCCUUUGCCAUUUGUGUGUGUCUGUGUGAACCAAGAAAAGUUACCGAUGCAUGUUUAAUAUGACUUAGCUUUGACAAAUGACAUGGUGAUGGGAUGAUGAGAAUCCCUUGCUAGAGCAGACUCUUACUAUGUCUGAAUAUCUCUGGAUCUGAGCACUCCAUGGGUGAUGCUGAGAUGACAGAGGCAAUUAUUGAUGAUCAGGAGAUGGCCUUAGUAGUUUGAAAGGAACUUGACCAUAUCAUCCUCUGGUUCUUCGAAGACUUGGGUUGAUAUUCCAAGUUUGCUCCCCUUUAGUUUUGCUCCUGAAAUGUCCUUGCAGGAAAAUGUGAAGGCAAAAUUGACCCAGUCUCUUGAAAGCAAGGUGUUGGAGGAUUAGGCUUUUGUGUCAUCUAUCCCUUCUUCACUACUUGGAGUUGACCCCAAUGAUCCUUCAGUACGAGAAAUGCGGGCAUCUUUGGAAGUAUGAGAAGGAUGAAAAUGAGCAACCAAACGUGGACAAGUAAAGAUGAAAAUGGUUACUGCUGCUGACUCUGUGAAGGCAAGAUUAAUCUCUGAUCCGAAUUCUAAGUCUUAGGAGUGAGCGAUGCCUUGUUUGUUUUUAACAUUAAUAGUUUAUCUUACAUGCAUUCUUUUCCGGACCUCUCUCUCUCUCUCUCUCUCUCCAAAAAAAAAAAAAAAAAAAGGCUUUUAAAAAAAAAAAUCAAUAAGGGAUGAUGGCUGUUUUUUUUAUUCAUGAAUUAAUGGUUUUAGUUGGUCCACUAUCUUAUUAGUUAGGACUAAUUUCGCAAUCCAACCUAUGUGAUAAGGCAAUGCUUCGAGGUUUUGGCUCCGUUUAGUGUUGGUUUGCCAGUCAAUAUAUGCACAACGGUUAGCCCUGAUCAGUCGCCUGUGACUCAUGCUGCCUACCGCGUACGUGAGGUACCAAAGACUGUGAAGUCAAGAGGAAUCCCAUGCAGUAAAGCACCCACAGAAAUAUUUGGCUGAUUGUCGAUGUGAGAUGCUGUCUUCUUAAUACAGCUAAUCAGAAAAGGCUGAUACAAUCUACUAUCAAGCUCGCAGGAUACUCCAAAUGCGCGAUUAAGUUGCCACUCUAAAAUCUGGUUGACUAAACUGCACCAAAAACAUUUUGAUGCUUAUCACCUAUUCCAAUUUGCCCCCAAAAUAAAGAAAAUGAUGCUCGAUGAAUAUUGCUGCAAGUCAGAGUCAGAUUAUCUCAAUCAUCCAUUCCUUAGGAAAGAAUAAUACUCAACUAUUAGGGCGGGCCAGUUUGCCUAUCAUGUAAUAUCAAUUAUGGUACUCAGAAAUGCAUCUUUUUCAACUUUAUGUGGAUCAA